GACGAACGCUGGCGGCGUGCCUAAUACAUGCCAGUUGAGCGCUGAAGGUUGGUACUUGUACCAACUGGAUGAGCAGCGAACGGGUGAGUAACGCGUGGGGAAUCUGCCUUUGAGCGGGGGACAACAUUUGGAAACGAAUGCUAAUACCGCAUAAAAACUUUAAACACAAGUUUUAAGUUUGAAAGAUGCAAUUGCAUCACUCAAAGAUGAUCCCGCGUUGUAUUAGCUAGUUGGUGAGGUAAAGGCUCACCAAGGCGAUGAUACAUAGCCGACCUGAGAGGGUGAUCGGCCACAUUGGGACUGAGACACGGCCCAAACUCCUACGGGAGGCAGCAGUAGGGAAUCUGCGGCAAUGGACGAAAGUCUGACCGAGCAACGCCGCGUGAGUGAAGAAGGGUUUCGGAUCGUAAAACUCUGUUGGUAGAGAAGAACGUUGGUGAGAGUGGAAAGCUCAUCAAGUGACGGUAACUACCCAGAAAGGGACGGCUAACUACGUG
rnacentral:rRNA from 1 species